rnacentral:rRNA from 1 species
GAUGAACGCUGGCGGCGUGCCUAAUACAUGCAAGUCGAGCGAACAGACGAGGAGCUUGCUCCUCUGACGUUAGCGGCGGACGGGUGAGUAACACGUGGAUAACCUACCUAUAAGACUGGGAUAACUUCGGGAAACCGGAGCUAAUACCGGAUAAUAUAUUGAACCGCAUGGUUCAAUAGUGAAAGACGGUUUUGCUGUCACUUCUAGAUGGAUCCGCGCCGCAUUAGCUAGUUGGUAAGGUAACGGCUUACCAAGGCGACGAUGCGUAGCCGACCUGAGAGGGUGGUCGGCCACACGGGAGCUGAGACACGGUCCAGGCUCCUACGGGAGGCAGCAGUAGGGAAUCUUCCGCAAUGGGCGAAAGCCUGACGGAGCAACGCCGCGUGAGUGAUGAAGGUCUUCGGAUCGUAAAACUCUGUUAUUAGGGAAGAACAAAUGUGUAAGUAACUAUGCACGUCUUGACGGUACCUAAUCAGAAAGCCACGGCUAACUACGUG